UAUCCUCUAGGACCUGGAUCACUCACCUUUCAAAGUCUCCCACUUAACCUAACCACUGGAGUGGCCACCCGGGUGUGCUCGGUCCAUCCACCAAAGAUUCACAGAAAAGUAAAAAGCAGACAUUCGCCAUGGUGCUCAGUUCAGGUUCACUUCUUUCGGUACUCAGCGAUAUCACAACCACAUUCUGCCGACAACGUUAAUACACGGGUAAUAAAUGCGUUCUAUAGCAGCAAGCGACUAAAUUAAACUAACUGCUCACUGUUUACAAAUUAUUUGUUCUGCUUGGGUUUCAAAAAAAAAAAAAAACAGCAACAGGUCGAUAUGAAAAAUUCAACACCGCAAAUCCAAGUGCCAAUAAUCACUGUAACGUGACGUAACACCGAGGCCGACGAUGACGUCAGCUGGAUGAACCCGCCUUCUGCUGAUGUUAUUGCAACUUGCGUUCUGCGUUCUCGUUUUUAUUCGCACCUUGAUAUCAUGAAGGCAGAUAUAAGAUAUUUUAGCUGUACUCUAUAACAAAGCCGAUCACAUGUGUUGUGCGAUUAAUUUGUGAGGCGGCAUAACAUGUGUGCUUCACGUUCACUGUGAAAGUUUCUUCUAAAGUUUGAAAUCGAAUCUGGAAUGUUCGAUCAACGCCAGCUCCUUGCAUUUCUCGUUGAAUUUCUGUUGUUGUUUUUUUGGCUAGAGCUUUUUCCCUUAUUCUUCUUAUGUCAUCUGUUAUACAACUUGCCACGGUUUGUGAUGUUAUACCCUAAACAAAUAAGUGACGACAUAGGUUAUAAUGUACCAACUCUAUUUAGCCUAUUUUCUACAUUACCCUUUAAAUUUUGAUGAUCAACUUGGCUUUGCUUCAUAAUUUAUUUACCUCUGUUGAUUUACAAGUUCUUUUUGUUUGCAUGUCCUCAUGUAAAAUUUUAUGCUGUCAACCGCUUCAAAAAUGUAACUGCGUUAGCAUUGCUUUUGUUUCUUCAAAUAUCAUCUUGUUUACAACUGACUUCGACACAGGUUAUAAGCAUUUCCUCAUGUUUUGAUUAUCGUGCUCUUGCCUGCCACAAUUUCAUCAUGGGUGAUACGGACAACCCGUACAAUGACAUAUUCCACAAAACUGCAAGUAUCAUUCAGUCAAAAGCUGGGAGAUUUUUAGGCAGCCUAGUUGGGCAUUACAAAGUAAGCG